rnacentral:sRNA from 1 species
ACUCCGAAAGGGCCUCGCCUCGUACAUC